AUCACUGCACUGGCAGCUUCAUUACCCCACCAUGUCAGAUGUGGAGAAGUUCCUGCCGGGCGGAAGAUGCUCAGAAGCGAUAACCUCUAGCACAGAGCCUCGUCCCCCCCUUUGGACGGGCAGGGAAGAUCUCUGUCCACACCUGAGAGGUUACUGGGACUUAGCACCCCAGUGGGAGGCAUGCAUUGAAGCUGAAGAAAUGUACGGGGUAGUGAGCACAAUGUGUGAUCCUGACACCUCAGCAUCAGUCAUCUCGCUACCCCCUCAGCGACUAAACUUGACUCCACACCAGCGGUAAUCCCAAAGGUGCCGGAGAUGCCCGGAUUGCUGCACAAAACCCGAAGUCAGGCGCACCUCACCUUCAUCACUGCUUUAAUGAUGGACCUGCAUUACGCUAACUCGAGGGACUAGCCGACAGAAGGGGCCUUUGAUGUUGAGGCUGGGCCUAUUUGUAUGCACGCUCUCAUGGCCUAUAUCUGAGCCCCUGUGUCUGAUGACUGUCCUCCUCACCAGCACUCUGUGGAGCCACAGAGCGGCUUCAGCUGAAUUGGGCAUGGAAUUUUCACCGGCUGGCGUUGAUCCCCCUCUGGAGUUUUUACACUACCGAACUAUGAAUGCUAAACAUGAUUAGAGCUACUACAUAUUGCAUGCUUUUUGCUUAUAAUGUUAUUUUUUGAAUAGCUAAUGUAAGACAUAUUGUGCCUGUGUAAAUUAAAAGUGGAAUAUUCAGGGUGUUUCUUGGGUGUUUUAACCUUAUCAUCUCCAUGUCUUUGUUAUGUAAUUUGUAGUUUACCUCUAUAAAAGGUUUAGCUCAGCUUAAGCACCUAGUCAAGAUAAUUGUUAAUUUAGUUUCCUA